ensembl:lincRNA Gm4221 predicted gene 4221
CCAGGCUGAAGUGGCAAGGCAGCCUCUCUCCUUCUCUACUGGGACCUGUGAGGACUGUAUCUGACCUACUUUCAAGCCUGGGUUUCCCUCCUUGAUUAAGCUACUCUCGAUAUACCCUCCUACAUCUCCUAGGCAAUUCCAAGCCCCAUCAACUUGACAACCAAGAUUGGCCAGCAAAGAUGGUAAAUUAUAUGCUGUGUUUAUUUUACCACUGUGCUAUUCUGUCUUGGUUUUGUACAUGGGAAAACCCUGUUUUCCUUAAAGGUUUGAAGACUGUCUCAUGUUUUAUUCUUUUUGUAUGUGAGUACACUGUCACUGUCUUCAGACGCACCAAAAGAGGGCAUCAGAUCCCAUUACAGAUGGUUGUGAGCUACCCUGUGGUUGCUGGGAAUUGAACUCAGGACCUCUGGAAGAGCAGUCAGUGCUCUUAACUGCUGAGCCAUCUCUCCAGCCCCCUUCCUAUGCUUUAUAGCAGGUUUUCACAGAAAUGAUGCUUUUAGCAUAUGAAGUAACCUAAAGGGAGAGCAUACACUUGCUCCUUCUUGAAGUUUUACACUGCAGAUUUAUCAAGCUACUUGAUGAAAAAUCAGAAUCAAUAGUGUAUUUACUUACUUCAGGGGACAGAGGAUGUGAGAGCUUAAGAACAUAGGAGUCUUCUUUCCCCCUACUAAUUAAAUACUUUAUUGAGCAAGUACAAUAGCAACAAAAUGCAUUCAAAUUUUCUCUAAAGAAAAAAAAAUCACUUUUAAAGGCCUUUCUAGUCAGGCUAAUGACAAACACAAUAAAGGCAGAUAUGCUAGUUUAACAUAAUUGGCUGAUUUCAUACAGCACUUAUAUCUUUUACUCCACAAGUAUAUCAUUAAAUGAUAGAGAACAUCUAAUACAUCUAAUACAACUAUUUCUACAUAACUAGCCAAUGGAUUUCUAAGAAAAAAAGAUUUUACAGACCCCCAUCUUUUAUACCCACCCCAAUGGUCUAACUCUAAAGAGGAUAGAGCCAAUGCCUUUCCUCACAAGAGCUCAGGACUAAAGUCACUUUGCUAUCAGAAUCUGUAUUUGUGAUCCGUUAUGAGCAUUGAGACAAGAUUCAAAUAUUCUCAAGGAAGCACAAGGCACGUUGUGAUCGCCUAUUCAGCAACAGCGAGCAUUGCAUUCAAAACUAUCUCAUCCCAGGAAUUAAAUUAGGUCACCCACAUUCAUGGGCAUUUCCUCCACUGUAGUAUUGUAGAAAGUCUCAAUGUCACGAAGAAUCCUCUAGUCUUCUUCAGUAACAAAGUUUACUGAAGUAACAAAGUAACAAAGUCACACCUUUUCUCCUAAAUCGACCCCCUCUGCCAAUUCCACUGGCGCUUUAUUCAAACAGUGUGCUGUUUCUUCUUGUGAUUCCACCUCCUAAAUUAUGUCAACGCCGUUUCUGAGUGCCAUCUCGUCAUCGACUGCCCCUAUCAACUCCUGUGAAUAUAGUUUUCAUGGUUGGUAGGUAGAUUGUAGUUUAUAACCAAGGAUACUUGUUGCAUGUCAAUCCUACAAGCCAACAAGCCAGCAGUGAUCAGAACAAGGCUUGACCCUGUUUGGAAGAACAGGGGAUCUUGCCAGAGCUACAUACUUUCUCUAAUUCCAUUUUGGACAAAAACCAUUAAGGUGCCUGUUAGAAAACUACCCAAAGCAAAGAAUGGUGAAUCCUAGUGUUCACCAUGGAAAACAAGCAUUUUGGAAUACUAGCAGGAAAGCUGGGGUCUAAGCUCUCAAUUUUAAAACUAUGUUCUGCUGAGAGAAUCAUUUUUUUAAUGAUAUUUUGCCUUGACUUAUUAAUCUAUAAACAUGGGUGAUUCGUUUUUAUACAGAAAAGCAGUAAGAGUAAUUACACCGUUAUUUCUGUAUAUCUUAAAAACUGGUUAAUUUCUUUUCUGGGGUUUCUGAGAGGUUCAUUGUAAAUACCAAUAAGUUGUUAUUUUUACUUUGGGUGGAAUAAAUAAUUUCUGGACAUUUUCUUUCUUUUUAAAUUGAACAGUUAUUUUAUUUAUGCAUAUGAGUGUUUUGUCUGAAUAUAGGUCUGUGUACCAUGUGUGUGCCUGGUGCCUAUGGAGGCCAGAAGAGGGUAUCAGAUCCUCUGAAGCUGGGGUUACAGAUAGUUGUUAGUAGCUUUGUGAGUAUGGGGAACCAAACCUGUACCCUAUGGAAGAACAGCCAGUGUUCUUAACUUCUGAGCUAUUCCUCCUACCUCUGAAAUUUUUCUAACGAUUAAAAAUAGUUUAAGAAAUUUCUUAUUAAACAAAUGUGUAGAUUUUCACAAUUUGGAAUUAUAAGUUAAAACUCCAUCAACUCUUUUCACAAACAUUAAGGACUUAUGGCCUAUCUUAAAGUCCUAUCUGGGGUUAAAACAAUGUUUCACUGUUGCCAAUAAUCUGUGUGUUCCUGGAAGAAGGGGUUGUUCCUCAGUCAUAGACAUCGUCCACAAAAGUGAUAGCAAACUGUUAAUUCCAGGACUGCUAUCUUUGUUGAUGUGGGGGGUAGGAAUUGCUUGAUUGUAGAAAUCAAGCCACAUUUGAUAGCUAAAUAACCCAUAUAACAUCCGUAUAAAGAAGGGCCACACUGUCAGAGCAAUGAGGUCCCAACAAGGUAGAAGAAAAGGAUCACUGGGGUAUGUUUCUCAGAAUUCUAUUUUCUUUUUUGUAAAAUCUUAAGAUCUGGGUAAAACAGAAGGUUAAAUAAAAUGAACAAAGAUGCUAUAGGGAUAAACAGGGCACAGAGCAGUUUAAACUAUUAGAAAUGACCUUUCAACCCUCUUUCAUCUUUUACAGGACCCUUGCCCUCACCCUAUUGGAUCGCUGCUUGAGGCAGCUGUCUGCUGCUCAGGCCCAUCCGUGUCCAGCUUGUGCUUUUAUAUAGACAUGGGUGCUUGUCUCUGCAUUGGUCCACAGUUGCCAAGCAUGUGUCUGCACGUUCACAUCAGUUUUCAAGUAGAGUUUUGAUGACCCUUGCUGGAGAACUGAAUGCAGAUUU